rnacentral:pre_miRNA from 1 species
UUUCUACUCCCUCCGUUGCACAAUACAUGCCUUCUAUUUGUCAAAAUAUAUAUGUAUCUAGACAUGUUUUAGUAUAUAGGCACAUCCAUUUUUGGACAAAUGGAAGUCAAGUAUUUUGGAACGGAGGGAGUACACA